AUGGUUCUAAGUCAUCCCACUGGGUGCCAUGACUCUGAUUAACUCCAUCCAGCAACUUUUCAGUCUUCAAUGCCUGAGAUCAUGGUUUCUCUUCCUUUUCAACCUUUCCUUCAUGCUAAGGCUGCAGUGCAGUGGCAUGAUCUUGGCUCACUGAAACCUCUGCCUCCCGGGUUCAGCGAUUCUCCUGUAUCAGCCUCUCGAGUAGCUGGGACUACAGGGGUGUGCCACCGUCAUUGCCUCAAAUUUGAUCCUGGGUCAAAGCAAAAUGCCAGGACUCUGGAGUGCAUGCUCAUUGCUUUGCUGUGAACAUGGACAUAUCCUCGUAAGCAUUUCUGUUAAUUUGGGCAACCAAGGACAAGAAGUGGUCUAUGAAGUAUGUGCUAUGUAAUAUGAAAAAAAAGAAAAUGAAAGGAUGAAAUACUAGUAUAUAAUUAAGAGAUUCAAUUGCAAAAACUCUUUACCUGAACACAAAUUCUGGAAGUUAACUUUGUUCUAAUAAAUCUCACCAUUACUCUUCACCUUCAUGUUACUAACAAACUUCCUGAAAGUUUUCUUCAUCAUCUAAUUCCACUCAACAAAAUAACCUUUAUUUUCUGGCUUUUCUAACUUACUUUUCAAACAACCAAGUUUCUCAAAGAUUGCCUAACAAACAGCCCACUGACCUGUUCCUUCUGCCUCUCUUUGA